UAAUAAGUGUUAUAUGGCACUUUUUAAAUCCAUAUCCACCUUGUGUGCAAUGUCAGUCGAUCUUCUUCAUGGAGAUCGACCAAACAUCAACCUUUAUUUUUUAACUCUUUGUCUGAAAAAUAUUAUGAAUAAACAAUUCAAAAUA
rnacentral:misc_RNA from 1 species